AAUUAUCAAACCACUUUCAAUGUCUUGUUUCAUCCAAACAAAAGUUGAAGUGGGUUUGGACAUUGGGAGCUGCUGACUCUUACUAGAGCCAGCUCUUCUGAAUUGCAUUAGCUGAAUCUCUGUUGACCAUGUACAGUGUGAUAAUACUUUACACUGAGCCGUGGUGAAAACAGCUUUAUGGGAUUAAGCUCAAAUGAUGUACAUUGACC
rnacentral:misc_RNA from 1 species